UGCCUGAUAGAUCAUUGCUUCUCACACUAUAACUAUUAAAAUGUGCACCAAUUCAGGCACGAUAUUGCUCAAUUGUUACCCCCAUUUAACCAAAUGCAAUAUAUAUCACUGCAACUUGAUCUAUCAGCAGCAGUAAUAGAGGUCUGUAAAAUUUGCAGUUUUAUAUAUGAUAUGCUGUAGCUCUGAGUCACGUGAUACCUUCGUACAAUGGCUCUCGUUUGUUUUUUUACACAAUGGCUCUCGUUUGUUUUUUUACACAAUGGCUCUCGUUUGUUUAGAACACAAUCUUGUUUGUUUCCGUUUGUUUGUUUAGAAUUGAUGUAAAUUUUAUUUGAGUUGCCCGUUGCCACACCGUGACCAACACGCAAAGUGUCUGAUCAAUAUAUUGAUCAGCGACAGCUUGAACAGUGAAUGAACACAAUGAUUCCCAACACCAAAUAUGCACUGUCAGGUUUAUAAAAUCAAACACAAGCCUACAUAAAUAGAAGAACAAAUCGUCAAAUCUUCUGAAAAUUCUUCGUAAACUAAAAGGAUCACAGAUAAUGCUUUGAUCUUACCUUAAAUAAAUGACUUUACAAGAAGACGUAAUUCUUAAAAAUCGCAAAUUAUCUGCUAAAUACUUGCCAACUUGUAAGUUUCGCCCUCGUGCUAAAUCUUGGCAAGUCCCGAAGAGCAGCCGGUAGCUUCCGUAAAAACCCGUCGAAUCUUCUACGUCACAAAACGUCAUAAAACUGAACAUCCAAACAUUGCUAAAUCCAAAUCAUUGUCGCAUUCAUAUAACUCGGUAAAGAGGUCUGGGAACAAAUCACAAGAAUAGGAAGCUGCCUGCGGCAGCAAUUAUUAAUGAGUAUUUUAAUUAUAUUUAAAAUACUCAUUAAUAAUUCAUAAACCUUGUGGCGAAUCAUGUCGGCCAUAAUAUGUCACGUGGAGUGACUUUAUAUAGUGAUAAAGCAUGAGGCAUUAUAUAAUUGUUCAUCCUAAUUAGUAUGAUUAUACAGGGUGUAUCAAAAAUCGAACUUCAGCCGUUCAGCGCGCUAUUGUAUCUGAAUUACUGUGCAUAUGAACGAGAUUUUUCAGAUUCGGAAAGAUCAUGCUUUUAAUGAUAUCUUCUUCAUGCCAAAUGGAUAAAAAAUGAGCAAAUACGAAUCCGAUAAAAAAUGUUAGUCAGAAUCGCAUAUUUUCACCGUUGAGAGUUGGGUCUAAAACCAUUGAAAAUGAACCCCUUUGGUACUGAAGUUGAUGAAUUUCACUUCAUUAAACUACGCACAUAUUCAUAAUUAUUAUUAAGUAGGAAUAAAUCUUAGCUAAGCUACGACACGUUCGUGAUUAAUUGCUUUUUCUUUUGUUAUGCAUUGUUUUAAUUAGGCACGGAGGUGAAAAUAUGCGAUUUUGACUAACAUUUUUUAUCGGCCUCGUACAUGCUUGUUUUUUCUCCACUUGGUAUGAAAAGCAUGUCAUACAAUAGCUAAAAGCCUGAUCUUUCCAAAUAUGAAAACCAAUUGUUCAUACGCCGAGCGAUUCACGUAUAAUAGCGCGCUAAAGUUCGAUUACCUUUUUUUUGAUACACCCUGUAUAAUGGUUCAUCCUAAUUAGUAUUCUUUUUUUUUUCUUUUUUUUUUAUUUAUUUUUGCCCAAUUUUCCAAAGUACAAUAAAAUUUAACUAUUUACAUUUUUAUAAUCUAUACGUAGGGCUAGAGAUCUUUUAGAAACCCUUUUGGGCUUUUAUUUUAAGACCCCUAGUUAUAACAAAACUUUUAUUACUUAGUAUAAUUUCAUGAUGUCAUAAAAAUAGUACAUAAUAUAAUAACGAAAAUAUAUACAAUUGUGAGAGUGUUUAAAGGAAAGUUAGUCUGUGGUCGUAUUUUAAGCUAUUCAAAAUACUCGUUGUCGUGUUUUAUCAGACAUAAAACGCUCGGCUGCGCCUCGCGUUUUAUAUCUGAUAAAACACUCCUACUCGUGUUUUAAAUAGUACUUAUGCCGUAUUUAACAAGGUAUAGGCACAGUAUUAUUAAAAAAAUGGACAUGGCCAGAAAUCACGGACAUGAUUUAUCCUAUUAAACCAUGAUACAAUAUUUAACACGCCUAUAGCCAUUGGGCCACCCACGAUUUUAAGGUAUUCAUUACGUGUGGCUUUGUUCCAGGUUAGGAAAAUGCCGAAUUUUUAAACUAAGGCGUUGUCAAGAGAAGGCGAGGACGCGUGGGAUAGAGUUUUACUUGAAGAAUACUUGGGUGUCAAGAGGCAUAUUAUGAGAUCAGGAUGGAAUUAUGUUCAUACAGGUCCUUCAAAUAUAGUGUCGUCACAUGCACUCCCCCAACGAUUACAAACCCUCUCAUUUAAACUUCCAGAAGACAGAAAUUCUUUGACAUUUCUUUCCAAUAUCAAAAAGCAUGAAGUCCUUCAAAAAUUUAGUCCAGCAAAAAGUUGACUUUCAUCCAAUUCAACUUCAAGAGUUAUUAUUCAAAUACAAAAUUAUUUAUUCAAAAUUUCACUGCGAGUAUAUAU
rnacentral:lncRNA from 1 species